rnacentral:rRNA from 1 species
AGUAACUGCGAGUGAAGCGGGAAGAGCUCAAAUUUUGAAUCUGGUGGUCUCUGGCCAUCCGAGUUGUAAUCUAGAGAAGCGUCUUCCGUGUCGGACCGUGUACAAGUCUCCUGGAAGGGAGCAUCGUAGAGGGUGACAAUCCCGUCUUUGACACGGACCGCCGGCGCUAUGCGAUGCGCUCUCGACGAGUCGAGUUGUUUGGGAAUGCAGCUCCAAAUGGGUGGUAAACUCCAUCUAAAGCUAAAUACUGGCGAGAGACCGAUAGUGAACAAGUACCGUGAGGGAAAGAUGAAAAGGACUUUGGAAAGAGAGUCAAACAGUAUGUGAAAUCGCUGGAAGGGAAACGCUCAAAGUCAGUCGCGUCCCCCGGGGAUCAACCUUGCGAUGCAUCGCAUCGCUGGGCGUACUUCCUGGUUGGGAUGGGUCAGCAUCGAUCUCGGUCGUGGUAGAAGGGCGAGAGUGAAAGUGGCACUCUCCGGAGUGUGUUACAGCCUCUCGCAUGGGAUGCGACGACGUUGGGAUCGAGGAACUCGGCACGACCCUCUCGGUGGGGUUCGGGGCUCUGGCUCACGUUCGCGUGCCCAGGAUGCUGGCAUAAUGGCUUGGAGCGACCCGUCUUGAAACACGGACCAAGGAGUCCAACGUGCGUGCGAGUGUUCGGGUGGCAAACCCGUGCGCGAAAUGAAGGUGAAAGUCGAGACCUCUGUCAUGGAGGGCAUCGACGCCCGGACCUGAGCCUAUGGCAAGGGAUCCGCGGUGGAGCACAUACGUUGGGACCCGAAAGAUGGUGAACUAUGCCUGAAUAGGGCGAAGCCAGAGGAAACUCUGGUGGAGGCUCGUAGC